rnacentral:antisense_RNA from 1 species
CUUGAUGGACCCCAGCCACAGCGGCCGGUCCUCGGCGCGGUCGUGGCCGUAGGUGGCCAGCAGGGCCUGCGCCUC